GAUCAUGGCUCAGAUUGAACGCUGGCGGCAGGCCUAACACAUGCAAGUCGAACGGUAACAGGAAGCAGCUUGCUGCUUUGCUGACGAGUGGCGGACGGGUGAGUAAUGUCUGGGAAACUGCCUGAUGGAGGGGGAUAACUACUGGAAACGGUAGCUAAUACCGCAUAACGUCGCAAGACCAAAGAGGGGGACCUUCGGGCCUCUUGCCAUCGGAUGUGCCCAGAUGGGAUUAGCUUUGG
rnacentral:rRNA from 1 species